rnacentral:tRNA from 1 species
GUAAACAUAGUUUAACAAAAACAUUAGAUUGUGAUUCUAAAGAUAGAGGUUAAAAUCCUCCUGUUCACC